UACGUAGGGUGCGAGCGUUAAUCGGAAUUACUGGGCGUAAAGCGUGCGCAGGUGGUUUGUUAGGUCAGAUGUGAAAGCCCCGAGCUUAACUUGGGAACUGCGUUUGAAACUGGCAAGCUAGAGUCUGUCAGAGGGGGGUAGAAUUCCACGUGUAGCAGUGAAAUGCGUAGAGAUGUGGAGGAAUACCAAUGGCGAAGGCAGCCCCCUGGGAUAAGACUGACGCUCAUGCACGAAAGCGUGGGGGGAGCAAACAGGAUUAGAUACCCUGGUAGUCCACGCCCUAAACGAUGUCAACUGGUUGUUGGGCAACUUGAUUGUUCAGUAACGAAGCUAACGCGAGAAGUUGACCGCCUGGGGAGUACGGUCGCAAGAUUAAAACUC
rnacentral:rRNA from 1 species